rnacentral:rRNA from 1 species
AUUGAACGCUGGCGGCAGGCCUAACACAUGCAAGUCGAGCGAGAAAGCACUUCGGUGUGAGUACAGCGGCGGACGGGUGAGUAACGCGUAGGAAUCUACCUGGUAGUGGGGGACAACAUGGGGAAACCCAUGCUAAUACCGCAUACGCCCCAAGGGGGAAAGCGGGGGAUCUUCGGACCUCGCGCUAUCAGAUGAGCCUGCGUAGGAUUAGCUUGUUGGUGAGGUAAAGGCUCACCAAGGCGACGAUCCUUAGCUGGUCUGAGAGGAUGAUCAGCCACACUGGAACUGAGACACGGUCCAGACUCCGUACGGGAGGCAGCAGGUGGGAAUAUUGCGCAAUGGGACGAAAGCCUGACGCAGCCAUGCCGCGUGUGU